UACAGAGGAGCCAAGCGUUGUCCGGAUUGACUGGGCGUAAAGCGCACGCAGGCGGAGGCGCGCGUGGGGUGUGAAAUCUGGCCGCUUAACGGCCAGGCGCCAUCCCAUACGGCGCCUCUGGAGGGCUGCAGAGGUCGAUGGAAUUGCCGGUGUAGUGGUGAAAUGCGUAGAGAUCGGCAGGAACACCCAGGGGGAAACCAGUCGACUGGGCAGCACCUGACGCUGAGGUGCGAGAGCGUGGGGGAGCGAACCGG
rnacentral:rRNA from 1 species